GGCACAAACUUGAAGUAGAGUAGUUUAGUAGGGUCAGCUGGUACUAUUAAUCUACUCUACUUUGAAUUUGGGCCC
rfam:Haemonchus placei strain MHpl1 genome assembly, scaffold: HPLM_contig0000413